UACGUAGGUGGCAAGCGUUAUCCGGAAUUAUUGGGCGUAAAGAGCGCGCAGGUGGUUGAUUAAGUCUGAUGUGAAAGCCCACGGCUUAACCGUGGAGGGUCAUUGGAAACUGGUCGACUUGAGUGCAGAAGAGGGAAGUGGAAUUCCAUGUGUAGCGGUGAAACGCGUAGAGAUAUGGAGUAACACCAGUGGCGAAGGCGGCUUCCUGGUCUGUAACUGACACUGAGGCGCGAAAGCGUGGGGAGCAAACAGGAUUAGAUACCCU
rnacentral:rRNA from 1 species